rnacentral:rRNA from 1 species
GACAGAGGGUGCAAACGUUGUUCGGAAUUACUGGGCGUAAAGCGCGUGUAGGCGGCUAAGUAAGUCGGGCGUGAAAUCCCACGGCUCAACCGUGGAAGUGCACUCGAAACUGCAUAGCUAGAGUCCUGGAGAGGAAGGUGGAAUGCUUGGUGUAGAGGUGAAAUUCGUAGAUAUCAAGCGGAACACCGGUGGCGAAGGCGGCCUUCUGGACAGUGACUGACGCUGAGACGCGGAAAGCGUGG